rnacentral:rRNA from 1 species
UACGAAGGGGGCUAGCGUUGUUCGGAAUUACUGGGCGUAAAGGGCUCGUAGGCGGCCAACUAAGUCGGACGUGAAAUCCCCAGGCUCAACCUGGGAACUGCGUCCGAUACUGGUUGGCUUGAAUCCGGGAGAGGGAUGCGGAAUUCCAGGUGUAGCGGUGAAAUGCGUAGAUAUCUGGAGGAACACCGGUGGCGAAGGCGGCAUCCUGGACCGGCAUUGACGCUGAGGCGCGAAAGCCAGGGGAGCAAACGGG